UACGAAGGGGGCUAGCGCUGUUCGGAAUUACUGGGCGUAAAGCGCGCGUAGGCGGUGAUCUUUGUCAGAGGUGAAAUCCCGAGGCUCAACUUCGGAAUUGCCUUUGAAACGGGAUUGCUUGAGUCCGAGAGAGGAUGGCGGAAUUCCUAGUGUAGAGGUGAAAUUCGUAGAUAUUAGGAAGAACACCGGUGGCGAAGGCGGCCAUCUGGCUCGGUACUGACGCUCAGG
rnacentral:rRNA from 1 species